AAGCAUCGGUUGCGCCUCUCGUCCACGA
rnacentral:sRNA from 1 species